UUGAUAGUAGAAGCACAAACAGGACAAACAACAAGGGAACAACGUAGGGAAGGCUGAACCCACUUCUGAAAAGCUUCCAUUGUGAAUUGUUGCGGGGCAGAGGCCAGAACAAAACCGCAGCGCAGCAGGAACGUGAUGCAGACAUUUCCUGUGUGAGUCCAGGGAUUUUACCAGGUCAGAAAUUGGGGAGAACUUAAGUCAAGCAUUAGUCCACCAGAUGCCCUCAGACUUUUCUCCUAUCAUUACCGAUCCUGCCACUCCCAUAUGCCCUGCAAUCACCUCAUUCCCCUCACCUGGGCUUCCCCAAUCAGCCACCACUGCUGAUGACCAGCCAGACCUCCAGUCAUUCACUGAUGCCCGGGCAGACCUUCAGUCGGCUGCCCCCACCAACACCUUGUCCAACCAGUCCAGUCUCUGCUAACACACCCAACCUCAAGGUCUGGGCUCAGCCCCCAGGCUGUUUGCCAACAUGUUUGCCAUAUCAGCUUUAUAAGGUGAAAAUAUGUCAAUGUUGUGAUUUCAGCUUGUUGCGCUACCCCAUGUGGCCAAAAAUCAAUUAACACAGGUUUGUCUAAAACAACAAGCAACAUUUACCAAAUCAAUGUGCAAUUGAUUUGCCAGACAGUAGACAUGGCAAGUGACUUGAUGUAUAUUUCACAGUUUUAUCUUGAAAUAUUUCCAAUUUGUUAUUAAGAUAUGAAACAAAUGUCAUUAUACAAACAUAUGUUUUUAGAUAAUGAGCCUCAUUCAAUUUUGUAAGAACGACUCUUCUUAAAGUGGCGCUGUAUCUACACCUUUGAUGUAAAGUAGAUUUUUAUUUGUUAAAACAUUUGUUUAUUUAAUACAUUUUUUCUUCCAUGACUAAAUUGCAACAUUUUUCUCUUUCUGCCUUGCCCAUUCUACCUUCCUUACCUCUGUUAUGAUCAUCAGUGUUGACAUUAGGAUGCAGUGACUGUGGUGUCUGUUAGCCAUGGGACUGUUAGCUUGACUUAAUGCAGACAUGAUGUACAGGCCAGAAUAAUGAAACAGUGUCAUGGUGUGUGUGAGAGAGAGUAAGUGAAAGAUGUGUAUACAUACUGUACAUGCAUGAAUGUUGAACAUUGGGUCCAGGUAAGUCUGUGUGUUUGCAGACGUGUGCAUUAAAUGUGUUAUAAUUGGCAUUUACAAGAAAUGUACAGGAUUAGUUGGGGUGACAUUGGUGCUGACAUGGUGACAACAUUCAGAGUUUCACAGCAGCUCACAGACGUCUCCUGACAUUUCAUGAAACAAGCACAAUGUCAUAACAUAACAUGUCCUGUGCAUAAGAAAUUAGAGGAAUUCAUUUCCCAGCAGGAGAGGAUUAUAUGGAGACACUGAU